rnacentral:rRNA from 1 species
GAUGAACGCUGGCGGCGUGCCUAAUACAUGCAAGUCGAGCGAACGGACGAGAAGCUUGCUUCUCUGAUGUUAGCGGCGGACGGGUGAGUAACACGUGGAUAACCUACCUAUAAGACUGGGAUAACUUCGGGAAACCGGAUCUAACACCGGAUAAUAUUUUGAACCGCAUGGUUCAAAAGUGAAAGACGGUCUUGCUGUCACUAAUAGAUGGUUCCGCGCUGCAUUAGCUAGUUGGUAAGGAAACGGCUUACCAAGGCAAGGAUGCAUAGCCGACCUGAGAGAGUGAUCGGCCACACUGGAACUGAGACACGGUCCAGACUCCUACGGGAGGCAGCAGUAGGGAAUCUGCCGCAGUGGGCGAAAGCCUGGCGGAGCAACGCCGCGUGAGUGAUGAAGGUCUUCGGAUCGUAAAACUCUGUUAUUAGGGAAGAACAGAUGUGUAAGUAACUGUGCACAUCUUGACGGUACCUAAGCAGAAAGCCACGGCUAACUACGG